UUCCGGUUGAUCCUGCCAGAGGUUACUGCUAUCGAGAUUCGACUAAGCCAUGCGAGUUGAAUGUUCUUCGUGAACAUGGCGGACUGCUCAGUAACACGUGGACAACCUACCCUUCGGUCCGGGAUAAUCCUGGGAAACUGGGGAUAAUACCGGAUGGGCCACAUAUGCUGGAAUGCUCUGUGGCCGAAAGCUUUUGCGCCGAAGGAUGGGUCUGCGGCCUAUCAGGGUAGUAGUGGGUGUAACGUACCUACUAGCCUACGACGGGUACGGGUUGUGAGAGCAAGAGCCCGGAGAUGGAUUCUGAGACACGAAUCCAGGCCCUACGGGGUGCAGCAGGCGCGAAAACUUUACAAUGCGGGAAACCGUGAUAAGGGGAUCUCGAGUGCCAGCAUAUAAUGUUGGCUGUCCAGAUGCCUAAAAAGCAUCUGUUAGCAAGGGCCGGGCAAGACCGGUGCCAGCCGCCGCGGUAACACCGGCGGCCCGAGUGGUAACCGCUAUUAUUGGGUCUAAAGGGUCUGUAGCCGGCCAGGUAAGUCCCUUGGGAAAUCUGGCAGCUCAACUGUCAGGCUGCUAGGGGAUACUGUUUGGCUUGGGACCGGGAGAGGUGAGAGGUACCUUGGGGGUAGGGGUGAAAUCUUGUGAUCCCCGGGGGACCACCAGUGGCGAAGGCGUCUCACCAGAACGGGUCCGACGGUAAGGGACGAAAGCUAGGGGCACGAACCGGAUUAGAUACCCGGGUAGUCCUAGCCGUAAACGAUGCUCGCUAGGUGUCAGUCACGGUGCGACCGUGAUUGGUGCCGUAGGGAAGCCGUGAAGCGAGCCACCUGGGAAGUAUGGCCGCAAGGCUGAAACUUAAAGGAAUUGGCGGGGGAGCACUACAACGGGUGGAGCCUGCGGUUUAAUUGGAUUCAACGCCGGG
rnacentral:rRNA from 1 species